rnacentral:rRNA from 1 species
UACAGAGGGUGCGAGCGUUGUCCGGAAUCACUGGGCGUAAAGGGCGCGUAGGCGGCUUCUCACGCGUGCGGUGAAAGCUCGGGGCUUAACUCCGAGUCUGCCGUGCGAACGGGGAGGCUUGAGUCUGGUAGAGGUCGAUGGAAUUCCGGGUGUAGCGGUGGAAUGCGUAGAGAUCCGGAAGAACACCGGUGGCGAAGGCGGUCGACUGGGCCAGUACUGACGCGAGGC